GGCCGCCCGACUCGUAAGACGCCGCCCGACUCGUAAGACGCCGCCGCCCGAGACGCCGCCGCCGACUCCUCCACAAGACGCCGCCGCUGCCCGACGCCUCGACGCUGGCGAUCUCGUCCGGCAUACUGGACUUCUCCCCUGCGGGACCUAAUCUCGCGGAAGACGGGCGACCAUGCUUUGCUGCCACAAGUCUCCUCCACUUUGUGCAGCCCGCAAACAUGUCUUGGAGCAUUCGCCGAUCAAACGUGUGUUUAUGUUGUGAUGAGCCGUUAACUUUUGUUGACCGAAUAUCUUGUAUUUUUCAUUUGAACCGUGGUAUGUGGCAUGUGUAUGUUUUUCAUUUGGACCGUGGAAUGUAUGCAUGUACCAUUUUCAUUAGAACCAUUGAUAAUAGUACUUGUAAGUUGUAACAGAGCAUGUUUGUUGUUUUGUGUAA